GGGGUUGUGGCUCAGUGGUAGAGUACUUGCCUAGCAUGUAUGAGGCACUGGGUUCAAUUCUCAGUACCA
rnacentral:tRNA from 1 species